GUGGGGAAUAUUGGACAAUGGGCGAAAGCCUGAUCCAGCCAUGCCGCGUGUGUGAAGAAGGUCUUCGGAUUGUAAAGCACUUUAAGUUGGGAGGAAGGGCAGUAAGUUAAUACCUUGCUGUUUUGACGUUACCGACAGAAUAAGCACCGGCUAACUUCGUGCCAGCAGCCGCGGUAAUACGAAGGGUGCAAGCGUUAAUCGGAAUUACUGGGCGUAAAGCGCGCGUAGGUGGUUUUGUAAGUUGGAGGUGAAAUCCCCGGGCUCAAACUGCGAACUGCCUCCAAAACUGCAUGACUAGAGUACGGUAGAGGGUAGUGGAAUUUCCUGUGUAGCGGUGAAAUGCGUAGAUAUAGGAAGGAACACCAGUGGCGAAGGCGACUACCUGGACUGAUACUGACACUGAGGUGCGAAAGCGUGGGGAGCAAACAGGAUUAGAAACCCCUGUAGUCC
rnacentral:rRNA from 1 species